GCCCUUCCCAAGCUUUCCUAUUGAAUGACGUGUCCAAAUCAUCUUCCAUCAUAAAAUGCUUCAAUUCAUUGCUAUCAUGCUGCACCCUUCCAGUAAUUUCCAGACAAAUGCCUUUUUUGCUUACGGCUUUGUUUGAGUUUCUGUCUUUGGUGGAUUUCUCUCUCUCUCUGGGGCCUGGAUCUAGAAACACAGGAUGUAUUUGAAGAGAUGGGUUUGGUUUAAUCCUGUUCACUUCUCUUUCAUCUGGUGGCCGCAAGAUAUUGUUGUGUGAUUCAA
rnacentral:misc_RNA from 1 species